AACGCACGAGACCUGCGGACCUGCGGAAGGAUCAUUACCGAAUGGCCUCUGGGCCUUCACAAACCCCAUCAAACCUGUGGACCUCUCAGAGAGAGCGUGCUUCGGCGUCCCCUCGGCUCUGCCCGAGGGACGCCGCCUUCAUGCAGAUAGAUCGUCUUGUCUGAUUUUGAAACCAUGAGAAUUUAAAACUUUUAACAAUGGAUCUCU
rnacentral:misc_RNA from 1 species